rnacentral:lncRNA from 1 species
AACUGUCGUAACCUAAUUUUUAAUAUUUUUAUUUAAUUAUUUUAUUUUUGUAAAAAAAGGUGAUGAAAAACAAGUAAAAUGAAAUAAAUAAAGAAUGAAUUAAAAUUUGGAUUAAGGGCAGCAUGAUUGGAAGUGUAAUUAAUUAAAUCAAGGGCAUAAUUGGAGAAUUGAUUUAAUUAAAAUUUAGAUUAUUUUUCAAUGCAUCCGAUUCAACAGGCCAUGAUCCCGGUCGUGAAGGAGACGGUUUUUGAAGAUCUAUCCUUAUAAAAGAGGGGACGAAACCAACACCAAAGGAGAAACAAAAAACCGAUACAAAAACCCAGAAAAAAAUUGCCAGAACAACGCAAGCACAACGAGGAAAUAAACCCAGAAACAGGGGGGAGGGGACACCAGGGGGAACAAAGGAAAAUAAACCCAGAAAAGGAAAAACAAACUCAGGGGGGUGAAACAGAACCAGGAAGUGGAUUUUUGACGAGCAGGCCAGCAACAGAGGAGGAAGGGCCGAAGAUCAGAGGAGAGAACUGGGGCCGGAAAUCAGAAAAAAAAAAACACACAGAACCAGGGGGACGAAGAAGGAGAAUCAGAGGAAGGCCUCAGCAGUUGGGAAGAAAAAACCCAGAACAAAAACAAGGGACCAAGAACCGCAACAAAAAAAAACACAGAGGAAAACAAGAAGAAGCAGAGGAGAGGGUGCCCGUUCGACCAUCACGUCUUCAUCGCCAUCGUCUUCGUCUCCAACAGUUAUAGAGUCAGGAAUAAAAAACGAAAGGAGGAACAACACGCCCUCAGCUCCAUCCUGCUCCCAGCGCCAGCCUCCAAAACCAGAGGAAGAAGCUAGGAAAACGAAAGGAGUGACAGCACGCCCUCGCCUCCAUCCAGCUCCCAGGUAAGUAGCUCUAGUUUUUACAAAAUAAAUCCCCAGCACUGUGCAGUUGAUAUUUAAUUCACGGUGAAUGUAGUCAGCGUGCGUGAAUUGAGGGCAAAAGACGCCUGGUCACUGGCUUGGGCCAGUGACCAGGCUGGGCCUAGCUCAGCCCAUUUGGGGCUGAGCCGGGCCCAGCUCCCACCAAAAAAUUAUGCUGGCCCAGCCCAGUCCAAAAAAAAUAAAAAAAAUGUGUAUGCAUGCAAAAAAAAAAAAAUAUAAAUUUAUUGGUUUAUUAAUUGACGCCAAAGUCAGGAAUAAAAAUACCGGUUUAAAUUUAUAUUAUUCAUUGUAUUUUAUUUUUAUUUAGCAAGAAAAAAAUAAUAUAAAUUUAUUGGUUUAUUCACUUACGCUAGAGUCAGUCAUAAAAAUACCGGUUUAAAUUUAUAUUAUUCAUUGUAUUUUAUUUUUUAUUUAUCAAGAAAAAAUAAUAUAAAUUUAAACCGGUAUUUUUAUUCACUAACGCUAGAGUCAGGAAUAAAAAUACCGGUUUAAAUUUAUAUUAUUCAUUGUAUUUUAUUUUUAUUUAGCAAGAAAAAAAUAAUAUAAAUUUAUUGGUUUAUUCACUGACGCCAGAGUUAGGAAUAAAAAUAUCGGUUUAAAUUUAUAUUAUUCAUUGUAUUUUAUUUUUUAUUUAUCAAGAAAAAAUAAUAUAAAUUUAUUGGUUUAUUCAUUGACGACAGAGUCAGGAAUAAAAAUACCGGUUUAAAUUUAUAUUAUUCAUUGUAUUUUAUUUUUAUUUAGCAAGAAAAAAAUAAUAUAAAUUUAUUGGUUUAUUCACUGACGCCAGAGUCAGGAAUAAAAAUACCGGUUUAAAUUUAUAUUAUUCAUUGUAUUUUAUUUUUAUUUAGCAAGAAAAAAAAAAUAAAUUUAUUGGUUUAUUCUCUGGCGUCAGUGAAUAAACCAAUAAAUUUAUAUUAUUUUAAAUUUAUAUUAUUCAUUGUAUUUUAUUUUUAUUUAGCGAGAAAAAAAAAUAUAAAUUUAUUGGUUUAUUCACUGAUGCCAGAGUCAGGAAUAAAAAUACCGGUUUAAAUUUAUAUUAUUCAUUGUAUUUUAUUUUUAUUUAACAAGAAAAAAUAAAAAUUGUGCAUGCACAAAAAUAAAUUUAUUUUGUUUGUAUAAAAAAAUACUGAUUUAAAUUUAUUUUGUUUUUAUAGCUACGUGAUAUUUACUAACGUCAGAGUUGGAAGUAUCUAUAAUUGAAUAUUCACUGACGCCAGAGUCAGGAAUAUUAUAAGCAAAUCAUCAUAGCGUAAACUAAUAAACAUUUAGCAAUUUAAGAUGAAACCAGCAAUGCAGCCUGCCUCAAGCAGGACGUUUAAGGAGUGAUAAUAUCUUCCCUUCUACGUAACCAAUCCCAAACCAUAGAAUCUCUGUUGACCAGUUAGGGUUCCUAGCGACCAUAAUACUAGGUGGCGACACCUUAAACAAGACAUUUUUCCCUAAAAAAACAAGAUGCCAGAUAUCUGUUUUUUUUUUUAUAUAUAAUUCGAGAAUUAAUUUUUAAGGUUGCUGUGAUGUCCAGGUGUGACAAUAAUAACGUAAAUAUCGACACCUAAAAUAAUAUUUAAGACAUAUUAUAUUAUACUUUAAAAUACAUGGGAAAGACACUUUAAUAUGUGCUGUGGCCUGUGGUCGUGGAUUGGUGUGAUCUUAUGGGUUACUGUAGAUGGAGCCUGUUAAAAAGGUUGGCAACUAUAUAUUUUGUUGCUUCUUUUAAUUGUUUUUUUACACUACAAAUUUAAAUCUUAAUCAAACUAGUCUCUAAUUCAAUUAUAAGAUUUUAUCAAGCACCUUGAUGUCUCAAUAAUACACAAAGAAAAUGAAAUAUCAACACAUAAAAUAUUACAAGCAUAUAAAUAAAAAAUUUCCUAGGAUUUUUAAUAGUACAAGAUUUGCAAAAUUAAAUCCAUGGGAUCAACAAAAAUUUAUACACUUAUUUUUAAAUUUAUUUACGGGGUUCAUUUUUUCCACAAGCCAAUGCGUCUUGAUCACGUCAAUAUUUUUCAUUCUCAAUCCUCAAGAAAAUAAAAAUCAAAAAUCAAAAUUUAUACACUUGAAUAAAUAGAAUAAAAGAUUAGACUGUUUUCUGCAAUAUUGUCUUCUUCGUGAUUGUACAAAAGCAAAUGUGUACAAAAUUUAUAGUCAAGAUGCUAAAAGAAGCCCCACCAGAUUUAGAGUUCAUUGCAUUACGUGGUAAUGGUUGCAUUUUAAAUUAUUUUUUGUUUGAAAAUAUAUUAAAAUAUUUUUUAAUUUUUUAAAAUUUAUUAUUUUUAACAUCAAUAAAUCAAAAUAAUUUAAAAAUACAAAAAAUAUUAAUUUAUUUUUAAAUUUAUUUACAGGAUUCAUUUUUUCCACAUGUCAAUGCAUCUUGAUCGUGUCAAUAUUUUUCAAUCUCAAUCCUCAGGAAAAUAAAAAUCAAAAAUCAAAAUUUAUACACUUGAAUAAAUAGAAUAAAAGAUUAGACAGUUUUCUGCAAUAUUCCAUCUUCUUCGUAACUGUACAAAAGCAAAUGUGUACAAAAUUUAUAGGCAAGAUGCUAAAAGAAGCCCCACCAGAUUUAGAGUUCAUUACAUGAUGGGCAGUGAUUGCAUUUUAAAUUAUUUUUUAUUUAAAAAUAUAUUAAAAUAUUUUUUAAUUUUUUAAAAUUUAUUUUUGACAUCAAUACAUCAAAAUAAUUUAAAAACAUAAAAACCAUCAAUUUAUUUUUAAAUUUAUUUACUGGAUUUAUUUUUUCCACAUGUCAAUGCAUCUUGAUCACGUAAAUAUUUUUCAAUCUCAAUCAAAAAAAUAAAAAUCAAAAAUCAAAAUUUAUACACUUGAAUAAAUAGAAUAAAAGAUUAGAUAGUUUUCUGCAAUAUUCCAUCUUCUUCGUAAUUGUACAAAAGCAAAUGUGUAUAAAAUUUAUAGUCAAGAUGCUAAAAGAAGCCCCACCAGAUUUAGAUUUCAUUACAUGAUUUAGUAGUGAUUGUAUUUUAAAUUAUUUUUUAUUUAGAAAUAUAUUAAGAUAUUUUUUAAUUUUUUAAAAUUUAUUUUUAUUAUUAAUACAUCAAAAUAAUUUAAAAACAUAAAAAAUAACAAUUUAUUUUUAAAUUUAUUUACGGGAUGUCAAUGCAUCUUGAUCACGUCAAUAUUUUUCAAUCUCAAUCCUCAAGAAAAUAAAAAUCAAAAUGUAUACACUUGAAUAAAUAGAAUAAAAAAUUAGACAGUUUUCUGCAAUAUUCCAUCUUCUUGUAAUUGUACAAAAGCAAAUGUGUACAGAAUUUAUAGUCAAGAUGCUAAAAGAAGCCCCACCAGAUUUAGAGUUCAUUACAUGUUGCGGUAGUGAUUGCAUUACACACAUAUAAGCUCUCUUAAGGACUGAAAAGUUUUUUAAAUAUUGUAACUAUGUUUAUUUAUAUUAUCUUUAUUAGUUUUAAGCAGUACUCAUUAAAAAUAUAUAACUUCAAACAUCAAUAAAUUAUUUUUAAAAUUUUUCUUAUAACAUGGCCAAAUAAAGUUUUAACUUUUAUUUAUUUUAUCCUGAAUCAUGAUAUCAGUGGUUGUUAUAAUCUAAUUUUUAACUUUUUUUAUUUUAUCUUAAUUCUAUUAUAUUAGACUUUAAAAAUCAUGGGAAAAACAUUUUACAUAUUUUGGUUCUUCUUUUAAUUGUUUUUUACACUAUAAAUUUAAAUUUUAUCAAUUAUAAGUACCUUGAAGCCUCAAGAAUAUACAAAGAAAAGGAAAUAUCAACACAUAAAAUAAUACAAGCAUAUAAAUAAAACUUUUCAUAGGAUUUUUAAUAGUACAAGAUUUUCAAAAAUAAAGUCAUGGGAUCCACAAAACUUUGGUGUGAUUAGUUUAAUUUUUCUUUUUUUUUUAACUUGAUUUUUUUUAAAAAAAUUUAUUUAAAAGAUUCAUUUUUUUCCACAUGUCAAUGCAUCUUGAUCGCAUCAAUAUUUUGCAAUCUCAAUCCUCAAGAAAAUAAAAUUAAAAUCAAAAUUUAAACACUUAAAUAAAUAGAAUAAAAGGUUAGACAAAUAUAUGUAAUAUUCUUUCUUCUUUGUAAUUGUACAAAAGCAAAUAUUUACAAAUUUUAUGGUCAAGAUGCUAAAGGAAACCCUACCAUUUAGAGUUCAUUGGGUGUUAUGGUAGUGAUUAUAUUUUAAAUUAUUUUUUAUUUGAAAAUAUAUUAAAAUAUUUUUUUAUUUUUUAAAAUUUAUUUUUAAUAUCAGUACAUUAAAUUAAACUAAAAAAUAAAUAACUAUUACAACUAAGCUCUUGAUAAAAUUAAUUAAUACAACAUAAAAAAAAAUUAUUUUUUUUAGUUUUCUGAUAAACAAAAAUGAAUUAUAAUAAUCUCUUGAUUUUGUUUUAUUGGUAAUGAUAAUAAACUUUUUUCAGUAUUGACAAAUUAGUAAUACAACUAAGAAUCUUGAUGAUGUAAUAAAAACCACUCCCAUUAAUUUCCACAAUUAAUCAAACCAAACUUAUCCUAAAAGAAGUGGCCAAUAUUGCUUUCUAUAUAUUUUCUUAAAUAAUUGACAAUUUUCAAAUUUGAAAUUUCAUAGCGAAUGUCACCAUUGAUAGGUGAAUCCCAAAGACAAGGUUUUUUGUUUUUUUUUUUCAAACAUAUAAUUGAAUAUUCCUUCUUCUCUUAUCUAUUCAAAAGGAAAUCUUACACACACACAUAUACCUCUCUUCUCAGCCGAAAAGUUUUUUAAAUAUUGCAACUAUGUUUAUUUAUAUUAUCUUUAUUAGUUUUAAGCAGAAAUAGUAAUAUUUUUUAUUCUCAUUAAAAAUAAUUAACUUCAAACAUUAAUAAAUUAUUUUUUAAAUUUUUGUAUAACAUGGCCAAAUAAUAAAAACAAUUAUUUUAUUUUCUAAGAAAUAUAAUUUAUUUUUCAAUAAUCCUUUUAUAAAAAUAUUUUAAAAACCAGUAAACUACGCCUAAAUUAAAAACUUUUUUAUCAGAAUAUACAAAGCCAGAUACCAACAACACACAAUAUCACUGUCUCAAAUCUUAGAUUUUUAGAAAGAGUGGUUUAUAUUGAAGAAUAAAACUUGUGGAAAUAAAACAAACUGAUCGGCCACUAUUACCUAAUUUUUUGUUAUCAGUUAGCUGAAUUGAUUUGAUUUAUCAAAAUGAACCGACAAGAGAAGUGAAAAGGAAUUAACAAUAGUACUGGGACGCCAUUGAAUAUUCAAUCUUCUACUUGUGCCUGUCCAAAAGGAACUUAUCAUGCACUCGGUACAUAAGUUCUUGAUUUUUUUUUUUAUUGGUAAUGAUAAUAAACUUCUUUCAGUAUUGAUAAAUUAAAAAUACAAUUAAGAAUCUUGACGAUGUAAUAAAAACCAAACUUAUCCUAAAAGAAGUGGCUAAUAUUGCUUUCUAUAUAUUUUCUUAAAUAAUUGACAAAAUUUCCAAAUUUGAAAUUUCAUAGCAAAUAAAGAAAUUUCACUUCAAGAAUGGCAAACUACAGUACAGUACUCUAGUUACAUGCAAUUGAAUAUUCCUUCUUUUCUGUAUCUAUUCGAAAGGAAAUCUUACACACACACACACGCUCUCUUAUGGACUGAAAAGUUUUUUAAAUAGUAUAACCAUGUUUAUUUAUAUUAUCUUUAUUAGUUUUAAUCAGAAAUAGUAAUAUUUUUUAUACUCAUUAAAAUUAAUUAACUUCAAAUAUUAAUAAAUUAUUUUUAAAAUUUUUCUUAUAAUUAACAUGGCCAAAUAAUAAAAACAAUUAUUUUAUUUUUUAAUAAUCCUUUUUUUAUAGAAAUAUUUUAAAAACCAACAAACAUGACCUAAAUUAAAAGCUUUUUAUUAGAAUAAACAAAGCCAGAUGACAACAACACACAAUAUCAGUGUCUCAAAUCUUAGAAAGAAUGGUUUAUAUUGAAGAAUAAAACUUCUAGAAAUAAAACAAACUGAUUGAUUACUAUUACCUAAUCUUAUACUAUCAGCAAGCUGAAUUGAUUUGAUUUAUGGAAAUAAACCGACAAAAGAAGUGAAAAGGAUUUAGCAAGAGUACUGGGACACGUCAUAAAAGGAGUUUUUCUUAAGAUGUGGUCCUAUUCAAUUUUAAGAUGUGGUCCUAUUCAUUGAAUAGUCCACCUCUCAAGACGCAAUUAAGUUUUCUGCCUUUUGUUUGGGUUUUUAUUUCGAAAGAGCACACGUCAUAAAAGGAGUUUUUCUUAAGAUGUGGUCCUAUUCAAUUUUAAGAUGAUGUGCUUUGGAUAUUUAAUGAGUUGUGUUGUUCUAAUCCUUCUCAUAAAAGGAGUUUUUCUUCCAUGACUUCAAGUUACCAUGACUGUGGUCAAAAUUAAUUUAUUUUCUGUAAAAUGAGUGUCUUUUUUCUACCAAGUGUGUGUUUGUUUAGGUUUGCAGCAAAAAUUAUUUUUUAAAGUAUUUUUUAUUUAAAAAUAAAAAAAAUAUUUUUUUAACUUUUAACAUCUUUAAUAUAUCAAAGCUAUAAAAAAAUAUUGAUUUAUUAAAAAAAUAAUUCAAGUCGAUUAUAUUUUUAAAAUAUAUCUAAACAUAAUUUUAAAUAUAAAAACAAACAAUAUUUAAAACCUGCUCAAAAAUUCCAUGAAACAUAAUUUUAAGUAUUUUAAAGCAAGCAGAAGAUUGAAGUGAGGAAACAUGAUCCUGCUUUAGUUUUAUGCUUGAUCAUGUAACACAACCUGGAAUAUCAAACAGCUUCGUUCUUCCAACAUGAGUGAAUCUGUUUUUGCCAUUGAGAAAUUCGAAUGAUGCAUGCCAAGAGUGUACCUUUGCAAUCAUUUUUAAUGUGUGUUUGUUUUGGAGUUAGGUAUAUUUUUUUAAAAGGUAUAAUUAUUUAAAUAUAAACCAUAAUUCAUAAUUUAGAGAUUACUAGUUUUAGUCUUACAAAUCUAGAAUUAUUAUAGGCUUAUAUAGUCGUUAACUUCAGGGCCUAUAAAAUUAAUCGAGAUAUAUACAAUCUGACCCGAACACUUAUAUUAAUAAAAAAAAUACAUAUUUUAUAUGUGAUCCCAAAAAAAUAAUAAUAAUUACACCUCCAAACCAAAACACCCUUAAAGUGAACUGUCAAUUCAUAGUGAAAGCCACUUUUAUGACAUGGACAAAAAAACCCACACAACGCAGAUAAUUUAGGGCGACUUUGACUUAUUACAUUAACUUGUUAUUUUUAAAUUAAAUUUAAAAAUUAUAAUAAUUAUUAUUUUUAUAUAUAUUGACCUAGACCCGUGAUGAUCCUUCUCACAUAUGAUUUGGGUUUUAUUCUAGUUAAUCUUUGAAUUGAAUUUUAAAACUAUGAUAAUAACUAUUUUUAUUUAUAUGUUGACUUGAGUCACCUCGUGUUGACCUUCCCGAUCAGUAACUUGAGUCGUGUUCCAGUCAAUUCUCGAGUCGGGUUUUAAAAUUAUAAUAAUAACAUCUUUUAUGAUAUGAUUUUACAAAUCAAUAUAUAUUUAUCAUGCAAAAUCAUGUAAAAAAAAUGAUAAAAUAAAAUUGAAAUGUGUAAAAUCAAUAACAUAAAAAAUAUGUUAUUGAUUUUACGAUCUUAUAAUAAUUUUAAAUUUUUAUAUUUUUUAUUGUAUAUUCUUAUGUUUACUCGUUAAUGCACAAGUCCCACAAGCACUUAUAUCAAUGAAUUUUUUUUAAUUAAUAGUUUAAGGAUGAAGAAAAUAUGGCCUUGCUUAGACCCUUCUUAAUUAAUAGUUUAACGAUUGUCUCCUUAAGCACAAGUUUAUCCGCUAACGAUAGUGAUUUAUGUACACAGAUAUCUGUCUACUCUGCGUGUAUGUUAACAAUGGGCUAAGCUUGCGCAACAACAAACUGGGUUGGUCAGUCAAUGCUUCUUAUUUCUUUUUUUUUCUCUCUUAAUUUAUGUCUUUUUAUUUUUAAUUUCAUUCUUCA